rnacentral:rRNA from 1 species
CCUACGGGAGGCAGCAGUGGGGAAUAUUGCACAAUGGGGGAAACCCUGAUGCAGCGACGCCGCGUGGGCGAGGAAGUACCUCGGUAUGUAAAGCCCUAUCAGCAGGGAAGAAACAGGACAGUACCUGACUAAGAAGCCCCGGCUAACUACGUGCCAGCAGCCGCGGUAAUACGUAGGGGGCAAGCGUUAUCCGGAUUCACUGGGCGUAAAGGGAGCGCAGGCGGCAUGGCAAGUCUGAUGUGAAAACCCGGGGCCCAACCCCGGGAGUGCAUUGGAAACUGCCAGGCUGGAGUGUCGGAGGGGUAAGCGGAAUUCCUAGUGUAGCGGUGAAAUGCGUAGAUAUUAGGAGGAACACCAGUGGCGAAGGCGGCUUACUGGACGACUACUGACGCUGAGGCUCGAAAGCGUGGGGAGCAAACAGGAUUAGAUACCCCAGUAG